rnacentral:tRNA from 1 species
GCAGCUUUAGUUUAAUGGUAAAAUGCGAGCUUCCCAAGCUCGAGCUGCGGGUUCAAUCCCCGCAAGCUGCA